rnacentral:rRNA from 1 species
UAGAUAGAAAGAUUAAACUGAAGAGUUUGAUCAUGGCUCAGAUUGAACGCUGGCGGCAGGCUUAACACAUGCAAGUCGAACGAUGAUUAUCUAGCUUGCUAGAUAUGAUUAGUGGCGGACGGGUGAGUAACAUUUAGGAAUCUGCCUAGUAGUGGGGGAUAGCUCGGGGAAACUCGAAUUAAUACCGCAUACGACCUACGGGUGAAAGGGGGCGCAAGCUCUUGCUAUUAGAUGAGCCUAAAUCAGAUUAGCUAGUUGGUGGGGUAAAGGCCCACCAAGGCGACGAUCUGUAACUGGUCUGAGAGGAUGAUCAGUCACACCGGAACUGAGACACGGUCCGGACUCCUACGGGAGGCAGCAGUGGGGAAUAUUGGACAAUGGGGGAAACCCUGAUCCAGCCAUGCCGCGUGUGUGAAGAAGGCCUUUUGGUUGUAAAGCACUUUAAGCAGGGAGGAGAGGCUAAUGGUUAAUACCCAUUAGAUUAGACGUUACCUGCAGAAUAAGCACCGGCUAACUCUGUGCCAGCAGCCGCGGUAAUACAGAGGGUGCGAGCGUUAAUCGGAAUUACUGGGCGUAAAGCGAGUGUAGGUGGCUCAUUAAGUCACAUGUGAAAUCCCCGGGCUUAACCUGGGAACUGCAUGUGAUACUGGUGGUGCUAGAAUAUGUGAGAGGGAAGUAGAAUUCCAGGUGUAGCGGUGAAAUGCGUAGAGAUCUGGAGGAAUACCGAUGGCGAAGGCAGCUUCCUGGCAUAAUAUUGACACUGAGAUUCGAAAGCGUGGGUAGCAAACAGGAUUAGAUACCCUGGUAGUCCACGCCGUAAACGAUGUCUACUAGCCGUUGGGGUCCUUGAGACUUUAGUGGCGCAGUUAACGCGAUAAGUAGACCGCCUGGGGAGUACGGCCGCAAGGUUAAAACUCAAAUGAAUUGACGGGGGCCCGCACAAGCGGUGGAGCAUGUGGUUUAAUUCGAUGCAACGCGAAGAACCUUACCUGGUCUUGACAUAGUGAGAAUCCUGCAGAGAUGCGGGAGUGCCUUCGGGAAUUCACAUACAGGUGCUGCAUGGCUGUCGUCAGCUCGUGUCGUGAGAUGUUGGGUUAAGUCCCGCAACGAGCGCAACCCUUUUCCUUAUUUGCCAGCGGGUUAAGCCGGGAACUUUAAGGAUACUGCCAGUGACAAACUGGAGGAAGGCGGGGACGACGUCAAGUCAUCAUGGCCCUUACGACCAGGGCUACACACGUGCUACAAUGGUAGGUACAGAGGGUUGCUACACAGCGAUGUGAUGCUAAUCUCAAAAAGCCUAUCGUAGUCCGGAUUGGAGUCUGCAACUCGACUCCAUGAAGUCGGAAUCGCUAGUAAUCGCAGAUCAGAAUGCUGCGGUGAAUACGUUCCCGGGCCUUGUACACACCGCCCGUCACACCAUGGGAGUCUAUUGCACCAGAAGUAGGUAGCCUAACGUAAGAGGGCGCUUACCACGGUGUGGUCGAUGACUGGGGUGAAGUCGUAACAAGGUAGCCGUAGGGGAACCUGCGGCUGGAUCACCUCCUUAA